CUUGAAAUCGCGUGUGUGAGGAGAUCUUGGCCAUUUACAGCUGCAGUUUUGGUGAGGAAUUUUGUGUUCUUGGAGCUUCCAAGUGCUCCAAUGGUGGAGUAUAGUUAGGAGGAGCCUUGUACCUUCCAUUUGGGUUGCCGUACAUCGACCUGAAUCCCGAAUCUUGAAUCAGUGAAUUGCCCUUGGUCCGGGACCAAGUGGAUUGAGGCAUUCCGCUGUGUACCGAGUUGAGGGAUAAGCUGCUACGGAGCUUGUGGAAACACGAAUUAAGGAGGUAGCAGUGGAGCAGGAGCCUCGGGCAAGAGGCCCGCAGAGUGAGCGCUGGAGCGCUUCAUAUUUUGCAUUUUGUUGGCCGUGUGGCCUAGGCUAGACUUAGGGCAUGAACAUGUCAUUUGUAUUUAUUAGUAGCUUCAUUAGCAUCUUGUUCAUGCCAUUUUGCCUAAGUCUAGUAGUGAUGUAUUUGGUUAUGUUGUCUUUUAAAUUAAGUUGAAAUUUUAGAAGAAUGUAAUUUGAAGUUUUAGUUUCAAGUUGUAAUUUG